UGGCAUGUGACGUUGAGUCCUCUCUUGCAAUUUUUAUUCCAAGGAAAGCAAAGAAAUUGGCAUGGGGGGAUGGCACGGCCAUGGCGUGGAAUCGGAGAGCCAAUGGCAAAACAUUCAAAAUUGCGGGGUUUUCUUUCGAUUUUCUGAGCUGACACACUGUUCUCGGGCAUGUGUUGUGCCCCAAUUGCAUUGCAAUCCCCCUUUUCCAAUCGCAGUUACCGACCAAUGCCCCCCAAACCCUAACAAAAUCCAUUCCAACUAGUGCAAGCAAGUCUCUCGCUCUCUCUCUCUAUUUGAAGUUAUAUUUGGUAGAGCAGAAUGAUCAUUGAUGAUGAUGCAGCAGUAUCAGUUGCCUUCUCCGCUUUCUCUCGGCCCCGCCGCGCCGGCCACACAGCCACAGCCGACGGUCAUGGCCGCCGCUGAUCACGCCGCCAUGGUGCCGGCGGCGCCGAUCGCCUUCGCGCAUCCUCCGAGAGAGCCGACGGCCUCGCCGCUGGCGAGGGUCCGGCUGGGGGACUUUGUACCCUACGACGGAGCGCCUACUUCGACCUAUCACAGGGCGGUCGAGGCCUUGACGGGCUCGCUGAUGAGGCACAACGCGGCGAUCAUCGACCUGGGGACUGCUGAAGAUGCUGCACUCUUGCGUUGUGGUUUGGAGGCCGUGAGGUUGUUCUUUCGGACUCGAGCUCCGAAUAAUGGCAAAGGAAGUCGUGUUUACACGUACAGGGCGGGAAGAGCUUUUGAAGAUCUGGAUUCUUCACCUCCAUGCAUGUCCGAUAUUUUUAGAUGUAUGGGCAAGGCUGCUCGUGCUGCUCUGUCUGCAAUAGCUAGGCAUCUUCGUUUACGAAGCGAUGUAUUCAACCAUUUGCUCGAUGACAAUCCAUUGCCUGCUACAGGAGUAUCCUCAUCAGUGCUAGUAGCAACUUAUUCUACAUGGGAAAGUAGCAAAAAUGGUAUUGGGGGAGGCAAGCCACCACCCACUGGAGAACUUGAGAAGGGAUUGUUAACAUUAAUUUGCUCUGAUAGUCCUGGUCUUCAGGUAUGUGAUCCCAAUAAUCGCUGGUACCUAGCAGAUGGGGGAUCAGUUCCUGGAGACCUUUUGCUUCUUACAGGAAAGGCUCUCAGCCAUGCCACGGCUGGCCUUCGCCCUGCCGCAUCAUAUAGGGCUAACCUUGAUUAUUCUUCUGGCGCGGCUGCUGUUGGAAGGACAUCAUUAAUGUUCAGGUUAAUGCCACAGGGAAAUGCUAUCCUAGAUUGCUCUCCUAUUGCUGCAGCUGGUCAUGUCAUUCCUCAGAGCUAUGUGCCAAUCUCGGUUAGCCAAUUUAUGGAUGACCUUUCAGCUGAGGAAGAUAUGAACCAUUCUGAAAAUGCUUAUGUAGCGCGAAACAAUUUGAAUAAAGAAUUGUCGUUGAGAUGUGUUCUCUCAGAUCCGUUAUCUGGUGCAUUCCUUGAAGAUGCGGUGUUUGUUUCGUGUGGACAUUCAUUUGGUGGUCUUGCGCUAACGAAAGUCAUGGAGACGUCAAGGUGUACAAUUUGUGGUAAAGAAAUCCAGAGAAGUUCUUUGAUCCCUAAUCAUGCUCUUAGAGCAGCAGCUGCAGCUGUGAGGCAGGAGGAUGACAAGCGGCUUUUCCACAAUGCAGCUCUUCGGAAACGUCGCAAAGAAAUGGGUGACCGGGUGGAUGUAGCGAAGAGACAAAAUGGGGAAAAUGGAGAUACUACAGGUGAUGAUGCACUGCAGAAGGGGGUGCAGUUUCCGUUUGCAGUAAAUGAGAAAGUGGUAAUCAAGGGAAACAGGAGAACACCGGAGAAAUUUGUUGGAAAGGAAGCAAUAAUCACAUCACAGUGUCUCAAUGGCUGAACAAUUCUCUCAUAGUUAAUGGACCCUAGAUUCAAGAGACCACUAAAGAAGAUAUCAACCAAUUCCAUCUCUCAAGAGUUCUCAAGGUUAAAUGUAUUUGCUAAAGAUUGUUGGUAGCGGGGAGAGUGUUCGCUUGCAAUACCGUUCUCUAAAAAAGAUUCAUGGCCCUCAGGCUGUUGACGAGAGGCAUUUGUUUCCAACAAUUUAGGAAAAUGGCUGAUUCCUCCUCCUCGGACUUCAAUUCAUGUUCGACAUUUGGUAUGUAGUUUGUCCAGUUUUAGCUUGAAGUGCAGUUAGUUAUGUGCUGCUUUCUGCUUUCUUGUUUAUGUAAGAAAUGUUUAGCCCAGUAGACAGUAGUGAGUAGGUUUGUCUGUUGUCCCCUUAGAGAAUUUGCCAGAUAGAUUGUAAAGAAAAGAAGAGAUGACUAGCUUAGUAGCAUUUUCAACUUUAUUGGCUUCUUCGCUAUAAGCACAAGCCUCAUAGAACAUAGAGAGAUGUAGGACAAAACUGAAGGUUAUGUCUCAUAUAUAUUCAACCCAUCAAUGCGAAAAUAGCAAGGGUUUUAGCCAUGUGA